UAGUCCACACCGUAAACGAUGAAUGCCAGUCGUCGGGCAGUAUACUGUUCGGUGACACACCUAACGGAUUAAGCAUUCCGCCUGGGGAGUACGGUCGCAAGAUUAAAACUCAAAGGAAUAGACGGGGACCCGCACAAGUGGUGGAGCAUGUGGUUUAAUUCGAAGAUACGCGAAGAACCUUACCUGGCCUUGACAUAUAUUAGAAUCUUUCAGAGAUGAGAGAGUGCCUUCGGGAGCUUUUAUACAGGUGCUGCACGGCUGUCGUCAGCUCGUGUCGUGAGAUGUUGGGUUAAGUCCCGCAACGAGCGCAACCCUCGUCACUAGUUACUAACGGUUCGGCCGAGGACUCUAGUGAGACUGCCUUCGCAAGGAGGAGGAAGGUGAGGAUGACGUCAAGUCCUCAUGGCCCUUACGGGUUGGGCUACACACGUGCUACAAUGGCAAGUACAGUGGGUUAAUCCCCAAAACUUGUCUCAGUUCGGAUUGGGGUCUGCAACUCGACCCCAUGAAGUCGGAA
rnacentral:rRNA from 1 species